UGGUUCUGGCAUCGAUGAAGAACGCAGCGAAAUGCGAUAAGUAAUGCGAAUUGCAGAAUUCAGUGAGUCAUCGAAUCUUUGAACGCACAUUGCGCCCUGUGGUAUUCCGCGGGGCAUGCCUGUUCGAGCGUCAUUAUACCCCUCAAGCCUGGCUUGGUGUUGGGGCCCGCGGUCCCGCGGCCCCGAAACAGAUCAGCAGUCUUAGCAGGCCCUAAGUGUAGUAAAUCUCUUCGCUUCUGGGCCCUGUGGCGGCUUGCCGAACCCACAUCUCAAAGGUUGACCUCGGAUCAGGUAGGGAUACCCGCUGA
rnacentral:misc_RNA from 1 species